AAAGGCGAAGCCCGGGGGACUGGAGAGACUUCCUCCCCUCCCUCUGCACGUGGGGUGGCUGAUGUAAGACCUUCCUUGGGGGCUUCCCGGGCCCCACCUCGCUGCUCCCGGACGCGGGUGUUCGCCCGCGAUUGGACGUUUGCAGGAGGGGCUGGGGGGAGGCUUUACAGUCCGACUUCGGGGGUCCGUAAGGCCAGGUCCGACCGCGGAGGCUGGACCAAGCCAGCCCGACGCCGCGAAGGCGGGACACGUGCAGGGAGCGCGGGACACGCGGCUUUCACCUUCUUCCCACCGUGUGGGUCAACAGCCAGAACCUUGCCGUCUCCUUGGACGAUGGUCGUGGAAGUGCUACGCGGACCCCCGUCAGGAGCGCUGUACCGCGUGGCACCGGGUGGAGUCGGCCUUCUCGGAGGCGGCUCCGGCCACUUGCCCAAGCCACAGAGAAGCCCAGCGUCCCCGAGUUCAGUAGAAUCUCCCUGGGUUUCUAACAUUUAAAUGUAGGCUAGCAAGGCAGCAAUUAGCAUUUCUAAUGGAGCUUUGGAGUUUUACAGAGUUUUCCCGAAGACUUUUAUCCCAUUAUUCCUUAGGGGACCCCUGUGAGGUGUGUAAAUUCUUGUUGGUCUCGGUUUGGGUGAAGCUUGGCAGGUAGCCUUUGUAAUGAUCUGGUUCAGAGAGCAUCCUGAGAUCCAGGGUUAGAGCACUAAGUUUUGCUCAGGAGGUUUGCUUUGCAGACCUGCUAGAGUAAUAUAAGGUUAUAGUCAGCAUAAUGUAAGUAAAUAUGUCAUGUGUCUAAAAUUCUAAUAUAGACAAAAGGCUCGAGAGAUUGGGAACAACGUGUGAAUAAACAAUUCUAUGCAUCAACCUAAGGCUUUCUUUGAGACUCUCCCCUCUCAUUUUACCUGCGACAAACACAACCACUUAUAUCAAUUUUUAAAAUGUGUAAUUAAAAUAAAGUUCUUAAAAGGCUUAUGGAAAAAGGCAGGAACUUUCUAGUAUGUUGUCUCCCAACUCUCGUAUUUAAAAUGUUGGUCUUAGCAGACAUCUCUGUGACAGAGAAAACGGUGAGGGAAGUACUCUUCAGGGUGUCACACGAUGUCUAACACAAGGUUAUGAGUACCGCGGGGCCAUGAGAUGGAGGCUUUCUGGAAAAACUAGCAACUCAGUUCCUAACAAGCAAUGAUUGAUCAUCCCCUUUUAGGGCUUGAUAUGUUCUUUUUCAUUUAACCAAAGACAGCCCUGUGAAGUAGAUAGUAUUUUAAUCAUUUUCCAGAUGAGGAACUGAACCUUAAGCUGCAUGUCCAACAAGAGGUGGAGCUAGGCUUUAAACCCAGAUGGGUCUAACGCCAAAGCCUGCCUUCUUUUCUGCUACACCAUCAGCCUGACUGGAAUGAAGUCCUAGAACGAGGGCCUGAUUUGGAACGGGAGGUCGGGAACACUUGUAGAGGACCUUUAGGAGUCCGAACUAUGGAUGAAUCUCUUUUUUACUUCUAUUGACAUUCAUGUUUGCCUGGUAAGUUAUGAAAAAUAUCAAAUAAUGCCCAGUGUUUGGCACUCCUUUUAGUUUUAAAACUGCCUGUUGACCAGAAUAUGUGUGUCUCCCAAUAAGCUCCAAAUGGAGGAGAACACUAAUUUGUAACUCCCUGGGCCUGCUUUCCACUCCACCGCCUCAGCAUCAAGCAGGUCAUCCAUCAAACCACCAGCUGACCCGAGCCUUCCCCAAAUUUUGUGGCUGGCAACAAGCUUUAAUAAAUCUGAAGUUGAGACAAAACGGCCCCAUUCAGCCAUCAAUUUAACUGGCUUGGAUACCAGCUUGGCAGAAUGGCCCCCUUUCUCUUUUAUAAAGACAAUAUAUAAAGCUAAUGGAUACUUAGGGUGAAGAAAGGAUUGCUUUUUAAAAACGAAAUACUUCCAUUCUGACACUCCUCUGCUGUACACAUGCGCACUCGUUGCUGAAUCGUCCCUCUGACGUUCCGUAGCCUGGUGCGUGUACCUGUUACAGCAGUUAGGCAAUACAUGGACAUCGUCGAAGGAUCUAAAAUUUCACCUAGACUGUGAGCUCACAUGCAUAUUUCUGGAUGAUGUAAAUGGAGAGUAGGAGCCUGGGCCAUCUUUAAAGCAUAGGUGGUCUGCGAAUGUGUAUUAUAUUGAAAAUAAUGCUGCACAUCCUCAAGAAUACUAUCUAAGCAGCUGGGGUUGUUGAGACAAGGGGAAGGGGAGAGAGAGGCAAAUAGAUGGAAAUUGGGUAAGGAAUGAGAUUCUGUAAGUCUCCAGAUGGUAAAAACAGAGGAGGGGAGAGUGUCAGGUGUGUAGGCAGUUGUAGGUCUAGUCAAGGGGCCCUUGCCACGGGAACCCGAGUCCUUCCUGCUCUCUGAAGUAGGCUCUGAGGCCUUCCUCGGGCAGCAAGGAAGAGCUAUGACUACCAAGAAUCAGGUUUACGAUUUAUUAAGUGCCAUCUUGAUGCCAAGUAUCAUGCUUGGGACUUUCACGUAUAUUGCAUUUCAGUUAAUCCUGGCAACAGCUCACUGGGACAAGACUAUAAUCCCCUCGUGUUGUUUAGGAAAUAGACUCGGAGAAGCCAAGUGGAACUCACAUAGCUAGUAAGAAUCUGGGUUUCUCUGUCGUCAUGGUCUCGCUAUAAUUCAUUCUCAAUACUUUGAUCCACUAGUCCUCACAACUGCUUCUAAAAAAUCUUUUGAUUUCUUUGCUUCAAAGAAGCAAAGACGUACAUGCUCGUGUGUCAGGGGAGCAGGGGAAGAAAAACACAGAAAAUAAAAUUAAAAAAUUAAAUUCCUACCAUUGAGAUACACCCACUACUAAAGGUGUAGAUCCUUGCAGCUUUUUUUCUAUAUUACGCAUAAUUUUGAAAAAAGAGUAUUAGGAUCAGAUAAGAUGUUUUUGAAACUUGUUUUUCCACCUACUAUUGUGAAGAAUGAGUUACUAUGACAAAUAUGAAUAUUAAUUUUGCUCAAUGUUUUUCCCUUUUUAGAGAAAGACUCUAACGAGGCUUUUGGACAAACCACAUAACCUCUCUGGGACUCAGGCUGCUCACCUCAGGACCGCGGUGAGGGGUAGACGUAGUCAUGUGGGUGAGCUCCUGCCCGGCGCAGUGCCUGCCACAGCCCCUGCGCGCCCCCACCCCUCCCUUGCCCUAAGUAGAGGCCCAGAGCUUGCUGGCCUCCUCAGGGGCUACGCAGAAGCUCUGCUGUCCUCCACCUCUGCUCCGUGUCCUUCGUUUCCUGUCCCCUGUUGACUGAGGAAAGGGCUCACCCCAAACCCUCUAAGUUGACUCUUCAAAGGGGUGGACUCUUUUUCUGUUUCAUGAAGUCCGUGGUCUCUCGUCACAAACUGGGACUGUGCUCCUGAGCUAGACUGGACAAUAGUCUGAGUGGCCCCACAGUGUUCGAUAUGCGUUCCCUCCAUAAUUAGCCAGUGUCCCCCCCAUCUGGACUCUUCUAUCUGACAGGGACUCCUUGUCCACACAGAACUGUCCAAGAGCCCUGCCCCUGUUGCCCGAACUUUCCCCUCUGUUCUGAGCUUGCUUUGUCGACUUUAGUCCAGCCAGAGGCCCUUGUUGGCGGUGCUAGGUGGUCCUCGCUCACUCUAGACUCGGCCACUCCUGGCAUAAUUUGCUAGUCUCAUUUUGGUAAAGGCCAACACUUUACUUUUAAAAAAAAAAAGAAAUUAUUUAGUUAUUUUUAGAGAGA